rnacentral:rRNA from 1 species
AGAGUUUGAUCAUGGCUCAGGAUGAACGCUGGCGGCGUGCUUAACACAUGCAAGUCGAACGGAGUUUUUAAACGGAAGUUUUCGGAUGGAAGUUUAGAAACUUAGUGGCGGACGGGUGAGUAACGCGUGGGUAACCUGCCUCAUACAGGGGGAUAACAGUUAGAAAUGACUGCUAACACCGCAUAAUAUAGCGAAACCGCAUGAUUUUUGCUAUCAAAUAUUUAUAGGUAUGAGAUGGGCCCGCGUCUGAUUAGCUAGUUGGUGGGGUAAAAGCCUACCAAGGCGACGAUCAGUAGCCGGCUUGAGAGAGUGACCGGCCACAUUGGGACUGAGACACGGCCCAAACUCCUACGGGAGGCAGCAGUGGGGAAUAUUGGACAAUGGGGGAAACCCUGAUCCAGCGACGCCCGCGUGAGUGAAGAAGUAUUUCGGUAUGUAAAGCUCUAUCAGCAGGGAAGAUAAUGACAGUACCUGACUAAGAAGCCCCGGCUAACUACGUGCCAGCAGCUGC